CAGCGAUUCCACCUAGUCUCUUCCGUAAAGACAAAUUAUAAAAAUCAACCUCAGAAUGUUUACAAAGGAACAGAUGGUCGGCAGUUUACAUUAUCAUCUAAUGAGCAUAUUACAUAUUUGAAUGGCCAGCGAUGCACAAAUGUUGUAUAGAUUUUGUUAAAAUAUUAUCAAGUGAUGCUCAGGCUAAAGAGAUGAAUGGCCAAUCAGUGAAAUUGUGUGUGUGUGUGCGCAUGCACCUGUGUAAUAAGUUUUCAUCAAGGUCUUCUAUCAAGUGCAUCAAGUUCUAGUGGAACUUGCAAUAUUAUUAUUAAAAUCAUAAACAGAAAACAAUUAGAAAAUAUGGGAAUCAGAGUGUAAGUGAGCUGGGCAGGUGAUGUGUCUUCAGAAAAUGAAGACAGAAAGAAAAGAGAGUUUUCUUGCAUCCCUUUUAUACUGUCUCUUGUUGUGAUUAAAUCUCUUUCUAGAUGGUCCAAAAAUUUUUCAAAAGUAGGUUUUCCUUUUCUCCUUUUAGAAGCCAAUUUCCUUUGAAACCUGGAGACAAAAUGUUUGUCUGCUACAUUGCUUAUUUAUGAAGAUCCAUUGUUCUCCCUCCACGAGUACUGUAGCUAACUACAGAAUCAUCCCUCCCAUGUUUAUUGAACUCUUUGCCUGCAGCUAGUAAAGCAAACAUCAGCAGAGUCAGCCAGAGGAUGCCUCCAGUAUGAACCUUCCGCUUAUUCAUUCUAGACAAAAUUUAAUGCCUAAGGAUGUCUCCAAAGUCAAGUUGAUUCCCCAGACAGGCAUUAUGCACAGCAGAAAAGCCCUUUCUGCUCAGGCUGGAGCUCAAAGAUCACCUCCAUGAUGUGGAAUGAUUCUCCAUGAGAAUGGAGUCUUUGGUUUCUCUACUCUCAGGAGAGUUGUUUAUGGCCAUUUAUACUUUUUGUAUAACGAGGACACCUGUUCACUAAUAACUGAACUGGAGGUAUUGCAACACAGGGCAUUAAAAAAAAAAAUAGCACAGGAAUGUACUGCUGGUCACACAUAUACACACUCAGAGAUCUUUGCUUUUGGUAGCUUAACGGACCAUAGCUUUCAUAAGUAGCUAAAUUGGCUUACAGAUUUUUCUGGUAUUUAUGGCAUUUCCUUUUAAUAAGCAGUUAUUAUAGUUGAAUAACUAAUUACUUUAUAGCAGGUGUAUCCGAUAUCAUGGGGCUAUCAUCAAUUACAGUGCUUUAUCACUGCUCUUCCUGUGUCAUAAGGUAAUAAUCAAAGACAGAGCUUGAAGGAAACAAAAUGAGUUCUGUUAGUGAAGCAAAUUAAGAUUUCAUUUUCAGUGUGACUCAAUAUGCUUGAUUGCUACAUAAACCAGCAUAGGCAAGGAACAAUAAGUCUAUUGAAGUGAUUUGUAUUGAAUGAGUGAC
rnacentral:lncRNA from 1 species